rnacentral:rRNA from 1 species
UGUAAGCGUAUACCAAAGUUGUUGCAGUUAAAACGCUCGUAGUCGGAACUUGGCAGUUCCGGAAGUGUGCACGUCGUGUGCGCACUUUGCAGGGACUGCUUUUGUGGUCUUGCGUAGGAUGAGGCACUUUUAUUAGUGAACGUCCUCACGCAACCACUCUUUACUGUGAGAAAAUCAGAGUGCUCAAAGCAGGCAUUUGCCGUGAAUGUAUUAGCAUGGAAUAAUAGAAUAGGACUUGGUUCUAUUUUGUUGGUUUGUUGGGACUGAGUAAUGAUUAAGAGGGACAGUUGGGGGCAUUUGUAUUUCGGUGCUAGAGGUGAAAUUCUUAGAUUACCGAAAGACAAACUGCUGCGAAAGCGUCUGCCAAGGAUGUUUUCAUUGA